UGGCUCUCGCAUCGAUGAAGAACGCAGCGAAAUGCGAUAAGUAAUGUGAAUUGCAGAAUUCAGUGAAUCAUCGAAUCUUUGAACGCACCUUGCGCCUUUUGGUAUUCCGAAAGGCAUGCCUGUUUCAGUGUCAUGAAAUCUCAAUCUAAUAUGUUUUCUGAACAUGUUAGGCUUGGACUUGGGUGUCUGCCAGCAAUGGCUCACCUCAAAUGACUUAGUGGAACAUCCCACAUCAGUGUUAGACGUAAUAAGUUUCGUCUCUCCUUGUGGUGAUGACUGCUCAAAACCUGCCAUCGCGCACCUUUUGACUUUGACCUGAAAUCAGGUAGGGCUACCCGCUGA
rnacentral:misc_RNA from 1 species